rnacentral:tRNA from 1 species
GCGGAUAUAGCUCAGUAGGUUAGAGCGCUGGAUUGUGGCUCCGGAGGCCGUGGGUUCAAAUCCCAUUAUUCGCCCCA